CUGCCCAAAAGAGGGGGAUAACACUUGGAAACAGGUGCUAAUACCGCAUAACCAUAGUUACCGCAUGGUAACUAUGUAAAAGGUGGCUAUGCUACCGCUUUUGGAUGGGCCCGCGGCGCAUUAGCUAGUUGGUGGGGUAAAGGCCUACCAAGGCAAUGAUGCGUAGCCGAACUGAGAGGUUGAUCGGCCACAUUGGGACUGAGACACGGCCCAAACUCCUACGGGAGGCAGCAGUAGGGAAUCUUCCACAAUGGGCGAAAGCCUGAUGGAGCAACGCCGCGUGGGUGAAGAAGGUCUUCGGAUCGUAAAACCCUGUUGUUAGAGAAGAAAGUGCGUGAGAGUAACUGUUCACGUUUCGACGGUAUCUAACCAGAAAGCCACGGCUAACUACGUGCCAGCAGCCGCGGUAAUACGUAGGUGGCAAGCGUUAUCCGGAUUUAUUGGGCGUAAAGGGAACGCAGGCGGUCUUUUAAGUCUGAUGUGAAAGCCUUCGGCUUAACCGGAGUAGUGCAUUGGAAACUGGGAGACUUGAGUGCAGAGGAGGAGAGUGGAACUCCAUGUGUAGCGGUGAAAUGCGUAGAUAUAUGGAAGAACACCAGUGGCGAAAGCGGCUCUCUGGUCUGUAACUGACGCUGAGGUUCGAAAGCGUGGGUAGCAAACAGGAUUAGAUACCCUGGUAGUCCACGCCGUAAAC
rnacentral:rRNA from 1 species